rnacentral:rRNA from 1 species
UACGGAGGGUGCAAGCGUUAUCCGGAUUUACUGGGUUUAAAGGGUGUGUAGGCGGGUUUUUAAGUCAGUGGUGAAAUCUCCGGGCUCAACCUGGAAACUGCCAUUGAUACUAUUAGCCUUGAAUUUUGUUGAGGUAGGCGGAAUAAGUCAUGUAGCGGUGAAAUGCAUAGAUAUGACUUAGAACACCUAUUGCGAAGGCAGCUUGCUAAACAAACAUUGACGCUGAGGCACGAAAGCGUGGGGAUCAAACAGG